rnacentral:rRNA from 1 species
CACUCCUACGGGAGGCAGCAGUGGGGAAUUUUGGACAAUGGGCGAAAGCCUGAUCCAGCAAUGCCGCGUGAGUGAAGAAGGCCUUCGGGUUGUAAAGCUCUUUUGUCAGGGAAGAAACGGUGAGAGCUAAUAUCUCUUGCUAAUGACGGUACCUGAAGAAUAAGCACCGGCUAACUACGUGCCAGCAGCCGCGGUAAUACGUAGGGUGCAAGCGUUAAUCGGAAUUACUGGGCGUAAAGCGUGCGCAGGCGGUUUUGUAAGUCUGAUGUGAAAUCCCCGGGCUCAACCUGGGAAUUGCAUUGGAGACUGCAAGGCUAGAAUCUGGCAGAGGGGGGUAGAAUUCCACGUGUAGCAGUGAAAUGCGUAGAUAUGUGGAGGAACACCGAUGGCGAAGGCAGCCCCCUGGGUCAAGAUUGACGCUCAUGCACGAAAGCGUGGGGAGCAAACAGGAUUAGAAACCCGGGUAGUCCCAUGAU